AAAGCGUGCGCAGGCGGUUUUGUAAGACUGUCGUGAAAUCCCCGGGCUCAACCUGGGAAUGGCGAUGGUGACUGCAAGGCUAGAGUUUGGCAGAGGGGGGUAGAAUUCCACGUGUAGCAGUGAAAUGCGUAGAUAUGUGGAGGAACACCGAUGGCGAAGGUAGCCCCCUGGGUCAAAACUGACGCUCAUGCACGAAAGCGUGGGGAGCAAACAGGAUUAGAUACCCGAGU
rnacentral:rRNA from 1 species